rnacentral:rRNA from 1 species
CCUACGGGAGGCUGCAGUGGGGAAUAUUGGACAAUGGGGGGAACCCUGAUCCAGCCAUGCCGCGUGUGUGAAGAAGGCCCUCGGGUUGUAAAGCACUUUCAGUGAGGAAGAACGCCUGGUGGUUAAUACCCAUCAGGAAAGACAUCACUCACAGAAGAAGCACCGGCUAACUCCGUGCCAGCAGCCGCGGUAAUACGGAGGGUGCGAGCGUUAAUCGGAAUUACUGGGCGUAAAGCGCACGUAGGUGGCUUGAUAAGCCGGUUGUGAAAGCCCCGGGCUCAACCUGGGAACGGCAUCCGGAACUGUCAAGCUAGAGUGCAGGAGAGGAAGGUAGAAUUCCCGGUGUAGCGGUGAAAUGCGUAGAGAUCGGGAGGAAUACCAGUGGCGAAGGCGGCCUUCUGGACUGACACUGACACUGAGGUGCGAAAGCGUGGGUAGCAAACAGGAUUAGAUACCCUUGUAGUC